rnacentral:lncRNA from 1 species
GGAAUGAAAACCACGGGGAAAAGCAAAACAUGAAAUCAAAACUAACAUAGGAUUUUCAAGCCUAGAGAGAUGAUAUAAACCCAGAAGACUCAUCACCAGUUCACAGGUGAGUCCUGACAAUUUGUCAUCGUAUCAAUGAUGACAAAUCUCAGUUAGCAU